rnacentral:rRNA from 1 species
UACGGAGGGGGCAAGCGGUAUUCGGAAUUAUUGGGCGUAAAGGGCGCGUAGGCGGCUAGAUGUGUCAAAGGUGAAAUCCCUCGGCUCAACUGAGGAACUGCCUUUGAAACUGUCUGGCUUGAGGCCGGGAGAGGGUAGCGGAAUUCCCAGUGUAGCGGUGAAAUGCGUAGAUAUCAGGAGGAACACCGGUGGCGAAGGCAGGUCUCUGGGCCACUACUGACGCUGAGAAGCGAAAGCAUGGGGAGCGAACAGG